UGCAAAAACAUCGAUGUCACUAUCGAUACUAUCGAUGUUUUUUAAAACAGCGAUGUAUCGAUGCUUUUUUUCGAACAUCGAUGUUAUCACUAAGAGAUACACACGCAAAGCAAGUGUUUGAUACAGGUAAAACAUAUUAGGGCGGUUCCUCUCGGCACAAUGGACAGGUUUCUGCACAUAACAAACCACGUGUCUGCUGCUUCGUCGUCUGCUCCAAC